CAAAAUAUAAACAGAAAUGGUGGUCGCUCAUUAUUGUCUUGAAAAUUUGGGUACUUAGUACUCUGCUCUGCACUUCAUUUGUUUAUGUGUUAAAUUGAUUAUUUUGAUAGUCACAUUAUGUUUCUUUGAUUAAGUUAGAUUCAUAGGAUUGGAAGUAGGUGUAUUUGUUGGGAGUUCUUUGAUUAAGGCAUACUUUGAAAAUUGUUGUAUUUUUGGUGCAAGAAUACUGUUUGAUAAAAUGUUUCAAAGAGAUAUUGUGUUAGAGAUAAAGAAACAUUUGAGGAAGCAACAACAAGAGGCAGAGAAAGUUCAAAGAUGUUGAAAGAAAGAAGAAGUUGAACUAAAAAGGCAAUGAUUUCUUUUGGUUGCUCUCUUGAUAUGUUAAUAUUUGCUAUUAUGAUGUUAUUACUAAAGGAAUUCUACCCAUAUCAAAAGUUAAUAAUAGAGUUAUCAAUGUGGACAUAUAUAUAUAGUGUAUUUGUGUUAAUUAAUGUUUGUAACGAUUUGUCUGUAAAUUUUUUAGUUUGACUGCUUAUGAUGGUCUGUAUUGCUUUUUUAAAGUAUAUUACUAAGCUUUUAAAUAAUGCCUUGGAGGUGUUUGAAUGAAUGAUUCACUAAGAUAUAUGUGAAUAAUUUCUUAUCAGUGAGGAAAUUGGAUUUUUGGCCCUGAAUUUUUUCUUAGCGUUGAUUAUUUAAGAGUCCAUAAUUGUAAGUGUUAGUGUAAGACCCAUGUAUUUAUGCUCUUUAGCUAUAAAUAUAUAUAAAUGGCUUUAUGAGUGUGAAUGAGGUAAGUUUUUGUUAUAUAUAGUGGGAUGUGCUCUGUUCCAUAAUUUUUCAAAUAUUGCUGAAGAAAUAGUUACAGAGUCAAAUUGGACCAGUGAGUUAAAUGAUUUCAAGGAAGCAUCAUAGUAUCACUUUUAUAUAAUUAAUUUAUGAUGUUCUGAAAAAAUUUCUGACCAUAGUUCAUACUUAUUAUAUAAUAAAUUGCCAAGCUUUUACAUUAUUUUACAAGUAAUUUAUAUAAAAUAAAUUAAAUGCACUUCUUUAUUUGUAACUCCAUAUUAGCUUUAGAUGUCUUGUUUAGUUAUUCCUCUUUGAAAGUAAAUGGGUUCAAUAGAAAGAGAUUGUGGGUUCUUUAUCAUCAGUAUAUCAACCACAGAGACCUCUUCUAGAGACAUCAUCAACAUCUGUCGAUUCAGCUGCAACUGGACAUGCGAGUGGAGUUGAUUGGCAAGAAGAGGUUUACCAGAAGAUCAAAACAAUGAAGGAACUGUAGUUACCUGAACUUCAUGAAUUGUAUCAAAAAAUUGCUGGCAAAUUACAGCAGGUA